CCAACGAGAAUGCAGAAGUCCACUAAGACCGGGAAUGGGUGGUGGAAGACCCACCAGUUCUUGGGGGCCUACUGCGAGCCAGGCACUGCACCAGGUGGCUCACAUCCAUUAGCGUCAAUCCCUGUCUACAGGAAUAGAUUUACAGAGGAGAAAACUCAGGCCCAGGACCACAAGGCAUGUGAGUGAGAACUGGCGUCUGAGCCCAGGUGGGACUUGAGCAAGAGGAGAAAGGUGAAGAGAGCUCUAGAAUAAAACUAUUAUAUCUAUUUAGUAACAGCUUUUUGGUGAAAAAAGAAGCAUAUCAGCUGUGCCCUUUAAAAAACUGACAAGAGGGGCUGGCCCCGUGGCUGAGUGGUUAAGUUCAUGCGCUCCGCUGCAGGCGGCCCAGUGUUUCGUUGGUUCGAAUCCUGGGCACGGACAUGGCACUGCUCAUCAAACCACGCUGAGGCAACGUCCCACAUGCCACAACUAGAAGGACCCACAACGAAGAAUAUACAACUAUGUACCGGGGGGCUUUGGAGAGAAAAAAUAAAAUCUUUAAAAAUAUUUAAAAAAUU
rnacentral:lncRNA from 1 species